CGCGCGCCUGCGCCCCACCCCGCCCCACCCCGGCGGGUCUCGCGCGCCCGGCCCGCCUCCUGUCAACCCCAGCGCGGCGGUCAGGUGGUCCCCAGCCCUGGGCCUGAGCCUCCAGCUUCCUGGUCCCUCGGGCUCUGGGUCGUGUCUCCGGCAGAUCGCCUUACCGAUUGUUCUCCUUCGCGGCUGGAGGUGUAGCCCCUAGUCGAGCUAUGGUGCCUCCGCAGAUGUGAGGAGGUAGUGGGUCAGGAUAAACCCGCUCACUCCAUAAUAACGCGCUGGGGCUCAGUGACGGAUUUGGGUCCGCAUUUAUUGAGCAUCUAGUGUCUAGAGACUGGGCUAGUAGAGAGGAAAGUAGCAGGCAGAGAAGAGGCAAGGCCUGCUCCGCAGGAGUUUUUGCCUCCCUUAGCCAAUGUGAGCCUUACCGCGAGAUGCCCACAACCUCUGUCGCUAGAGAUGGUUACCAUCCUAGGAUGGCUUGAUGCCAAAGGCCCAGGGACAGUCUUUCAUGAAAGCCUCUAGCAAAUACUUGUUCCCUUAAAUUUUUCUCUAUAUGAUGAAUCGAUGGCCUCCCUUGGUUCUUGAAUUCUUGUAUCCCCAGAACAUAAUCCGAUCGAAAACAGAGAUCUCAGGUGCCCAAUAUUCUAUAGACCUUGCUUCCUGCAGAGGUUGCUGGGGACAGUUGCCUAGAUCUACUGUGAACCAGAUUCAGAAAAAAAUUUCACUGCCAUUUGUACAAGACUGCAUUUGAUGGACCGAAGGGUUGGCUUGUGGAAAGCUGUUAAACACCAUCCUUAAUGUGAAAUGUCAACCCUCACUCCAAGCUACUUGCGCCUUUCCAAAGCAUCCGGCGAAGACUUCCUGGGCGAAGACUUCCUAGUCGCUUUCUGAUCUUGUGGUCUGUGCAAGACGGGAGUUUGAAAGUUCUCAUAUGCUGAUAACGAUGAUCCCACCAUGCUCCGUGACCAUCUAUGAAAAGUAUCUUAAAUAAAGAUGGAGACAUUUUGGAUUGGGAAAAAUAGACACCAGCUUCUGAAGAUUUGAUAAAGAUAUUAUAUAUCUCAUCAUCAACACUUUUUAUUGAUUAUAUUCUGAUGUGAACUUGGGACCUUCUAUGUCAGUUAAAUUAACCUCUGGGUUUUUGCUUUUUAAAACAUGUCCCUGCAAGAAAAAAUUUAAAUGCAGAUAUGGUUCCCAGUGCGUUUCUAUUGGCUAACCCUGAGAUAGAAGCUAUACGACCUUGUUGAGUAACAGAGAGUGGACCUAUGUGGUUUGUGAACUCAGUUAAAGAAGGUCAUCUUUAGAUCUCAUUCUACUGUGUGAGUAAAGACAAAAAAUGAAGGUUCCAUUCCGCCACUUAACCCCAUGUAUAAAGAGGAUCGUGAGGUUUCUUCCUUUAAUCUUUGGCUGUGAUCAACUAUAUUGAUUGAUUUUUUUUCCUCAACUCAUUUUUUAGUUAGUGUACAAAGUAAUGGACUUCUAUUCAGACAUUUUCACAUCUAUAUUGUUAUGUUUUGUUCUUUUGGUCCCCAUCUGCUGUCUCAUAUCCCCCCCCCACCUCUUGCUGGUCUCUUUCCAUUCCUUUUAUUCCUUUAUGUCAUAUGUAUUCUAUUUUCUCUCUUUUUUCCUCCCCUUCCUAGGGAUCUUUUUCUUCCUUCUCAGUGCUUUUUCUAUGUUCAUGUAAUUCACACACACACACAGCUAUAUCUAUAAUCUAUCAUGUAUAUAUGUAUGUAUCUGUCUGUCUAUAUAUUUAUCUGUGUAUUCUGGAGUGAAUCCACCAGGCCACUUUGCACUCCUUUACAGCAUCUUGAAUUUCAUUUAUUCGACUUUUGCGUAGGAAUCUCCCCCAUUUUCACAGAGGAGACUGUCCUAUAGUAUUGAUUUUUUCACUUUCUUUACUGGCAUCCAGCUCAUACAACAGACUUCGCUUCUAAUAGCACUUGUUAUCGAGUGCUUACAAACACCCCGGGACUUAGCACACAGUUCCUUCAUUGACUCCCUACAAACGAUUUGUGUGUAGAUUCUAUGCUCAUCUUCAUUUACCUGUGCAGAGUCGGAACCCUCCUCAGGGAACUUGCCCAACAGCAGCACUUCAUUUUGACAAAAUGGUAGACUGGGUUCGUCCCAAACCAUCCUAAUACACGACAUCAAAAGAUUGAAUAAAGCAUUAAAAGAGUUAAAUGAACUGUGAGCCUGCAAAAGAAGUAGGGCAAGCCCUGGAUUCUUUAGCUGUCACAUCCAUCCUCUGAGCUUCAGUUUUAAUAUCUCUUAAUUGGGUGCAGGGGACAAAGCUAAGAUCCAAAGCCAGGUGGGCAAUGGGCCCAGAGCCUUCCAGCUUAAAUCCAGACCUGCAAAAUGACUUGGUUAGUGAGUCAACAGAGAAGAAAAUUCUCUACUCUCCCACAUCUCAAGGUAGGCAGAGAAGAAAGUUCCUUUCAACCAUGGCUGCAAGUGACUGUUCUCAGGGUAGGCAGGAUCCUGAGUUAACAUUCCAGUGUCUUAAAAGUUUUUGAAAGAGCAUUUUCAGAAAUGAGUACUUAGAUUGUUCUCAGUUCAAAAUAUUUGAUAAUUCCCAUUAUAAUGUUCUCUUUAACCUUUGAUUAUAUAGAAAUAACAACUUUAUCUCCAAACAUAGAAGUGUCUUUACUUUUUCACUUUUUCUCCCUGAUCCAAUUUGUUUGCACAGUGUUAAACAUAAGAAAUUAUUUUUUAAAAGCUUCAUUCAGAUUUCCUUUGUAGCUAUGAUUUUUUAUAAAUAUAACACAAUAAAUAUAUGUUCUCUAUUUGGGGGUGGGGCAUUGUAUUCUCUUAAUCUAUGUAUCCAAUAGAUACUAUUUUUAUAUUUUUUUCUGGUCAUUUGAUUUAUAUAUUAGUGUCGAGAGAGCUGUGUUAAAAUCUUCCCCUAUGAAUGUGCAUUUAUUCAAGUUUUGCUGUGAUUCUGGCUUUUCGUAUAUAUGCUUGUACUGUACUAGUAGGUACAUAUAGGUUAAUGAUAAUUAUAUUUUCUUGUAGACUUUAAAAAGUCACUUUAUAACAAGGCAUGGUGGAGCACUUGAGAGGCAGAAGCAGAUGGAUCUUUGUGAAUUUGAGGUUCUCCUGGUCUGCACAGCAAGUUCUAGGCCAGCCAGGGCUACGUGGUUCAGCUUGACUUUAAAAAAAAAAAAAAAAAAAAAAAAAACCCAAACACUUAAAAAUAAAUUGUUUGCCUAUGUUAAUGAUUUUAGCUUUAAAUGGCUUUUUAAAAUU
rnacentral:lncRNA from 1 species